UAAUACGUAGGGGGCAAGCGUUGUCCGGAAUCAUUGGGCGUAAAGCGCGUGUAGGCGGCUUGGUCAGUCCGGCGUGAAAUCUCGGGGCUCAACCCCGAGCCUGCGUUGGAUACUGCCUCGCUCGAGUCCGGGAGGGGAGAGCGGAAUUCCCAGUGUAGCGGUGAAAUGCGCAGAUAUUGGGAAGAACACCGGUGGCGAAGGCGGCUCUCUGGAACGGUACUGACGCUGAGACGCGAAAGCGUGGGGAGCAAACAGGAUUAGAUACCCUGGUAGUCCACGCCGUAAACGAUGGGCACUAGAUGUGGGCGGUGUCGACUCCGUCCGUGUCGCAGCUAACGCAUUAAGUGCCCCGCCUGGGGAGUACGGCCGCAAGGCUA
rnacentral:rRNA from 1 species